rnacentral:rRNA from 2 species
AAAUUGAAGAGUUUGAUCAUGGCUCAGAUUGAACGCUGGCGGCAGGCCUAACACAUGCAAGUCGAACGGUAACAGGAAGCAGCUUGCUGCUUCGCUGACGAGU